rnacentral:rRNA from 1 species
UACGAAGGGGGCUAGCGUUGUUCGGAUUUACUGGGCGUAAAGCGCACGUAGGCGGAUUCUUAAGUCAGGGGUGAAAUCCCGAGGCUCAACCUCGGAACUGCCUUUGAUACUGGGGAUCUCGAGUUCGGGAGAGGUGAGUGGAAUUGCGAGUGUAAAGGUGAAAUUCGUAGAUAUUCGCAAGAACACCAGUGGCGAAGGCGGCUCACUGGCCCGAUACUGACGCUGAGGUGCGAAAGCGUGGGGAGCAAACAGG